UCUAUAACAUUUGUCAAGAUCAACAUGAAUGAAACUGGGUCGGGUAACAUCCGUUUGGACACAGCUUGAUUGGAUACUAACCAAUCAUCUUCAAUUAUUUAACCUAAUCAACGAAAGAACUAUAUACAUCGGCCGCUGUGAGUGGUGGUGUCCAAUCGGUGUUGUAUCCACACAGGAUUCUCCCAGCUGGGUGCCCUAUAGUAAAUAAUUACCCAAAUCAUUCUUUGAGCAAGAGUCGAGUGGUACGCGGUUACGCGCGAUAAAGGUUAAUGGGAGUAGCGCUAACACCAAGCAACCAGGCUGGCGCUCUUGGUCCAACGCAUUCGUGAAUAUAUCAUCUGUUUUUGUUCUUCGAUUGUAGCGUUAUCUGUAAAAAGAUUUAUCAACUAUGUUAGACACAAUCACUGCUCGGCUUGCCAUCGUUUACAUGUGCGAAGCCAAAUUUAUACACAUAUAGCUGUUCAAUAAUUAAACUUUUUUGUUAGAUUUUUGAUCAGAAUGACACUCAGUCAUUGUUGUUCGUUAGUUUUCUGUACUUGGAGAAGUUCUCAUUUGAUACAUACGAGCUACAAAACGUCAGUAAAAGAAUCUCUAUCCAAGCUUUUAUUAGUGCGUACUUUUAUUUUACAAAAGGAUUUUAUGAUCUGUCAAACUAAUUCAAAGAUGAAAUUAUUCUAUAUUGCAUCGGUAAUUCUCGCUAGUUUGGCAUACUCUUAAAUCGAUGAGACGGCAAUGUGAAGACAUCGAAUCUGUACAAGGUAACAGUGAAUGAGAGGGAGUGUGCAUGAAAAUGAUUAUACAUGUUAUUUAUCAUCGCGUGUAGUACGUAAUUAAUCGCAGCGAUUGCCCGCGUAGUCGCCCGCAACAGUGAGUUGCGCCAAUCGUGGUUGCCGUUCCGUAAUUUGCCAAUUAUUUUCUCCUAUAAUUUAAAACUUAAACUAUGGACAAAAUUUUGGUAAAAGAAAAAUAGUCUUAAAAAUGUCUCAGGAAUACAUUUUAAGAACAAAAUGGUUAGUCUGAAUCAUCCAGUAAUAUAUGCACGCGUGUAUGCGUGCGUGCGUGCGUGCGUGGUUGUGUGUGUGUGUAAAUAUAUAGAUGGUGAAACAAAAGUAAAACCCCAAAAUAUUUUAACAAAUACAAUACAAAUUUUACAAAAAAGUGUUUUAGACAAAAGUUUUAGAAUUUAAAAUGGUUUUCUCAAUGAUCUUAUCAGAAUGAUUUUAAUUGUUAUCACCAAGAUUAGGUCAAGGUCAAAUCAAUUUUUUUUAAUAGAACACUAUUUUUAGAUUAUAGAAUUUAAUAACUGUCAGCAGCUUAUCAAACAUUAUAAUAAAGUUUACUUUCAUUAAGUAUUUUCUGAGUUAUGGCUUAAAAUUAUAGUACGUACUACCGAUAUUAGCAUUAUCCAAGAUGUACCACGUGAAGGUUGUUCAAUCAAAUUUAUAUCUUUUGUGCGUGUUUGUGCGUGUCAUAGUAGAGAUAAAUAUCCCACGGUUUGCAACUCCUGUAAUAUUUAAUAACUUUUUGAGGCGUAUGCAUGCACGUACGCACGAACGCAUUUACAAAAGAAGUGUGACUCGGAUUAGGUAAUCUCUGCGUUAUACAUACAUCUUGGCUAAUAUUAAUUUUGGGGAUAGUGUAAAUUUUAAGUCUCAUAACUCGUAAAAUCCUUAAUGAAAAUAUGUUUUAUUAUAGUAUUUUGAAAAGCUCUUGAAGUCAACCAGAAGACUAUGUAAUUAAAAAUAAGAGUUUUCGUUGUUCAGAGACAAGUUAAGAAUGUGCUCCUCAGAUCUGUAGAUUACGGUUUACUUAGACUGAACGCAACCCGGUCAACUAAGACGUUCCAAAUACUCCACGAAAAAAAGGCGUU